AGAGUUUGAUCCUGGCUCAGAAUAAACGCUGGCGGCGCGCCUAACACAUGCAAGUCGAGCGAGAAAGUUCCUUCGGGAAUGAGUACAGCGGCGGACGGUUGAGUACACGUGAGAAUCUACCCUUUAGUGAAGGAUACCCUCGAGAAAUCGAGGUUAAUACUUCAUAAGCCCCCUUGGGGGGAAAGGCGGCCUCUUUGCUGUCGCUAAAGGAUGAGCUUGCGGCCUAUCAGCUAGUUGGUGAGGUAAAGGCUCACCAAGGCAAUGACGGGUAGCCGGCCUGAGAGGGUGUUCGGCCAGAUUGGAACUGAGAUACGGUCCAGACUCCUACGGGAGGCAGCAGUGAGGAAUAUUGCACAAUGGGCGAAAGCCUGAUGCAGCGACGCCGCGUGGAGGAUGAAGGUCUUCGGAUCGUAAACUUCUGUUAAGUGGGAAGAAAAGCUCGUCUCUAAUACAGACGGGUUAUGACGGUACCAUUAGAGAAAGCACCGGCUAACUUCGUGCCAGCAGCCGCGGUAAUACGAAGGGUGCAAGCGUUAUUCGGAAUUAUUGGGUGUAAAGGGUGCGUAGACGGUAUGUUAAGUCCGCUGUUAAAUUUUCCGGCCUAACCGGAAAUCUGCAGUAGAAACUGGCAUGCUAGAGGUUGGAAGAGAGAAGUGGAAUUCUCGGAGUAGCGGUAAAAUGCGUAGAUCUCGAGAGGAACACCAAUGGCGAAGGCAGCUUCUUGGUCCAUACCUGACGUUGAAACACGAAAGCGUGGGGAGCAAACAGGAUUAGAUACCCUGGUAGUCCACGCCGUAAACGAUGACCACUAGAUGUCGGCUUGUUUUAACAGGGUUGGUGUCGUAGCUAACGCGUUAAGUGGUCCGCCUGGGGACUACGGUCGCAAGACUAAAACUUAAAGGAAUUGACGGGGGUCCGCACAAGCGGUGGAACAUGUGGUUUAAUUCGACACUACGCGAGGAACCUUACCUGGGCUUGACAUGCUUUUGACAGUCGUAGAAAUACGAUUUNNNNNNNNNNUCGGUUUGAACAAUUACACAGGUGCUGCAUGGUUGUCGUCAGCUCGUGUCGUGAGAUGUUUGGUUAAGUCCUCUAACGAGCGCAACUCCUACUGCCAGUUGCUACUUUUUUUUAAGGCACUCUGGCGGAACUGCCUGGGAAACCAGGAGGAAGGUGGGAAUGACGUCAAAUCAUCAUGGUCCUUAUGUCUAGGGCAACACACGUGUUACAAUGGCCGGUACAAUGGGCUGCAAACUCGUAAGAGUAAGCUAAUCCCUCAAAGCCGGUCUAAGUUCGGAUGGGGUCUGCAACUCGACCCCAUGAAGUUGAAAUCGCUAGUAAUCGCAUAUCAGCAACGGUACGGUGAAUACGUUCUCGGACCUUGUACACACCGCCCGUCACACCACGAAAGUUUUUUGUACCCAAAGUCACUUUAGCUAACCUGUAAAGGAGGCGGGUGCCUAAGGUAUGGGAGAUGAUUGGGGUGAAGUCGUAACAAGGUAACC
rnacentral:rRNA from 1 species